rnacentral:rRNA from 1 species
CCGGCACGGGUGAGUAACGCGUAUCCAACCUGCCGUCUACUCUUGGACAGCCUUCUGAAGGAAGAUUAAUACAAGAUGGCAUCAUGAGUCCGCAUGUUCACAUGAUUAAAGGUAUUCCGGUAGACGAUGGGGAUGCGUUCCAUUAGAUAGUAGGCGGGGUAACGGCCCACCUAGUCUUCGAUGGAUAGGGGUUCUGAGAGGAAGGUCCCCCACAUUGGAACUGAGACACGGUCCAA